AGUCUAGCCUGCCCACUGAAUUUUUUUAAAUGGCCGCAGUAUCCUAACUGUGCAAAGGUAGCAUAAUCAUUAGUCUUUUAAUUGAAGGCUGGAAUGAAUGGUUGGAUGAAAUAUUAACUGUUUCAUAAAAAUUUAUAAUAGAAUUUUAUUUUUUAGUCAAAAAGCUAAAAUAUUCUUAAAAGACGAGAAGACCCUAUAAAUCUUUAUAUUUAGAAAAUUACAAUUAUUUAGAUAACUUUAAUUUUACUUUUUUUAAAUAUUUUAUUGGGGUGAUAUUAAAAUUUAAUAAACUUUUAAUUUAUUUUAAACAUAAAUUAAUGAAUUAUUGAUCCAUAAAUUAUGAUUAAAAAAUUAAGUUACUUUAGGGAUAACAGCGUAAUUUUUUUAGAGAGUUCAUAUUGAUAAAAAAGAUUGCGACCUCGAUGUUGGAUUAAGAUACAGUUUUAGGUGCAGCAGCU
rnacentral:rRNA from 1 species